GCAAACCGCGGGCUGUUAUUUUCGCUCCGGAAACCUAACUACCCAAAGAGGAGAAAUAUCAGAUUCAUCUCUAAUACUGUAACUGAUCAGAAGAAGAAGAAGACGAUAUUGAGCUGGAACCUGGGAGGAGAAAAACCUUAAUUCCUGGGCUAGUGGUCGGAUAAAGGUUAACUUGAACUUGAAGUGAUGUCUGUUAGACCUCCAAGCGAAAAAUGGACGCAUGCAGAACGAUAGUCAUCUGCAUUUGUGGCAGGAGGUGAAUCCUUUCUCAGGUUCAAAAAAGAGAUUCUAGGGGAAGAUACAUAUACCUCUGUGUAUCCGUUUACAAAACUGAUUAUGUAAACUUCCAGUGGUUUAUGGGAACCACAAAGACACUGAUGAGCCAUUUAUCCAUUCCUCUCAAGCUACCCUAGUUUUUUAUUGCAAGGAUCAAGGAUGAAAGUCGGCCUGAUAAGAAGUGGUAUAUUGUUUUAGAAUCUCGAAAACGACAAGGUCCUAAUGUGAAUGCUUUUGAGGAUCCAUUUGUGUUUACUGGCAUAGCUAAAGAAUCUUCCCUAAGGCAGCGAACUUAAAUGAUAACAGUAAUUCGUAAGAAGAUUAGUUACUUCAUUUUAUCAAGGUGUUGUACUGAUUGUUAUGAUGUUACAAGAAGAUUUAGGAGAGGCAGAAGUUCAACACCAGUAAGCGUCCCAACAAAAGCUAAUUCAGCAUUAACCGUGGCUCGAGAUAAAUUUAUCAGUACUUGUUAUUGAGUGGGAUUUUUCAUUAACAAAAGCUUAUGAUGAUGCAUAAUGUACUUUCUGAAUUUUUUUCUUUGGGUCUCAAUUGAAUUUAAUCUUUUUUAUUCAGAUAAUGUAUUCAAUUAUGAUAAAAA